rnacentral:rRNA from 1 species
UACGAAGGGUGCAAGCGUUACUCGGAAUUACUGGGCGUAAAGGGUGCGUAGGUGGUUUGUUAAGUCUGCUGUGAAAUCCCCGGGCUUAACCUGGGAAUGGCGAUGGAGACUGCAAGGCUAGAGUUUGGCAGAGGGGGGUAGAAUUCCACGUGUAGCAGUGAAAUGCGUAGAGAUGUGGAGGAACACCGAUGGCGAAGGCAGCCCCCUGGGUCAAAACUGACGCUCAUGCACGAAAGCGUGGGGAGCAAACAGG